GAAUACGAGAAUUAUUUAAAGGACAA
rnacentral:sRNA from 1 species